GACGAACGCUGGCGGCGUGCCUAAUACAUGCAAGUAGAACGCUGAAGAGAGGAGCUUGCUCUUCUUGGAUGAGUUGCGAACGGGUGAGUAACGCGUAGGUAACCUGCCUUGUAGCGGGGGAUAACUAUUGGAAACGAUAGCUAAUACCGCAUAACAAUGGAUGACACAUGUCAUUUAUUUGAAAGGGGCAAUUGCUCCACUACAAGAUGGACCUGCGUUGUAUUAGCUAGUAGGUGAGGUAAUGGCUCACCUAGGCGACGAUACAUAGCCGACCUGAGAGGGUGAUCGGCCACACUGGGACUGAGACACGGCCCAGACUCCUACGGGAGGCAGCAGUAGGGAAUCUUCGGCAAUGGGGGCAACCCUGACCGAGCAACGCCGCGUGAGGGAAGAAGGUUUUCGGAUCGUAAAGCUCUGUUGUAAGUCAAGAACGGGUGUGAGAGUGAAAAGUUCACACUGUGACGGUAGCUUACCAGAAAGGGACGGCUAACUACGUG
rnacentral:rRNA from 1 species